AACUAACGCUGGCGGCGUGCCUAACACAUGCAAGUCGAGCGGUCACCACUUUGUAGCAAUACAGAUGAAGUGAUAGCGGCAGACGGGUGAGUAACACGUAGGCAAUCUACCUUUCCGUCCGGGAUAACUAGCCGAAAGGUUAGCUAAUACCAGAUGCGACCACCGAGCGGCAUCGCUUGGUGUUGAAAGCAGCAAUGCGCGGAUUGAGGAGCCUGCGGCCCAUUAGCUAGUUGGUGAGGUAAUGGCCCACCAAGGCGACGAUGGGUAGCU
rnacentral:rRNA from 1 species